UCCUUCCUUAAUUUUUGUGUUUAUACUUGUAUAUAUUCGACCCUCAGCCUCAUUGUAAAAGGUCCCCGACCAACACAAACAACACUUCAAUACAAACUCUAUCAAAUUCUCUACGAAUUCUCUACAAUAUCAAUCUUUUUAUCCAUGUUCUAGCAUAGUUUUCUUCUUCUUUUCAUCGUUUUCUUUACCUUCUACACUUUAUCACUUUCUUUACAUUCCGCACUUUACUUUCAUGCAAUUUCUCUUCCGCGUCUUUAAAUUCAUGCACUUUAAUUUAUCGCAAUUACUUCAUGCAAUUUACGUUUCAUGCAAUUUAAAUUUUCGCUUUUAAAUUCUUGUUCUUUUACUUUUCGCACUUUAUUUCUUGCAAACUUAUACAAAAAUCACAAAAAAAACAUGAGCAACAUCGGUGAAAACGCCGAAAGUCCUUGCAACAAAGGCAAGAGAACCCAACGGCCGAGACGGUUCCUUCCUCGGCCUACAAUCACUUGGGAGAAGUCAGAUCAAGCGCAAAAUAUUUAUCAAAAACCUCGCUUGGCCAACAGGCCGCGAGUUGGCACGCCCGCGUAAAUUUUGAAGGACGAUUGCUCUCAGGCCCUCGGCCCUAAUCUCGGCCGAGACGAUUUUUGAGCAAAC
rnacentral:lncRNA from 1 species